AUUGAACGCUGGCGGCAUGCCUUACACAUGCAAGUCGAACGGCAGCACGGGUGCUUGCACCUGGUGGCGAGUGGCGAACGGGUGAGUAAUACAUCGGAACGUACCUUAUCGUGGGGAUAACGCAGCGAAAGCUGUGCUAAUACCGCAUACGCCCUGAGGGGGAAAGCGGGGGACCGCAAGACCUCGCGCGAUUAGAGCGGCCGAUGCCUGAUUAGCUUGUUGGUGGGGUAAAAGCCCACCAAGGCGACGAUCAGUAGCUGGUCUGAGAGGACGAUCCGCCACACGGGGACUGAGACAAGGCCCAGACUCCUACGGGAGGCAGCAGUGGGGAAUUUUGGACAAUGGGGGCAACCCUGAUCCAGCAAUGCCGCGUGAGUGAAGAAGGCCUUCGGGUUGUAAAGCUCUUUUGUCAGGGAAGAAACACCGGCUCUAACACAGUUCGGGAAUGACGGUACCUGAAGAAUAAGCACCGGCUAACUACGUGCCAGCCGCCGCUGUAA
rnacentral:rRNA from 1 species